CAGCAGUGGGGAAUAUUGCACAAUGGGCGGAAGCCUGAUGCAGCAACGCCGCGUGCGGGAUGACGGCCUUCGGGUUGUAAACCGCUUUCGCCUGUGACGAAGCGUGAGUGACGGUAAUGGGUAAAGAAGCACCGGCUAACUACGUGCCAGCAGCCGCGGUGAUACGUAGGGUGCGAGCGUUGUCCGGAUUUAUUGGGCGUAAAGGGCUCGUAGGUGGUUGAUCGCGUCGGAAGUGUAAUCUUGGGGCUUAACCCUGAGCGUGCUUUCGAUACGGGUUGACUUGAGGAAGGUAGGGGAGAAUGGAAUUCCUGGUGGAGCGGUGGAAUGCGCAGAUAUCAGGAGGAACACCAGUGGCGAAGGCGGUUCUCUGGGCCUUUCCUGACGCUGAGGAGCGAAAGCGUGGGGAGCGACCAGGCUUAGAUACCCUGGUAGUCCACGCUGU
rnacentral:rRNA from 1 species